UGUUAAAAAUUUCAUCUGUUUUUAUUGUUAAAAAUUGACAUAACUGACGGAAUAACUAGACUAUCACAUGUGGCACGCCACGUGUACCUCAUGCUAAUGUACAAUGGACCAAUUUUUAACAGUAGAAAUGGUUGAGAUUUUUAACA
rfam:Gossypium hirsutum cultivar TM-1 unplaced genomic scaffold scaffold42.1, whole genome shotgun sequence